UCUUUGCUAUACGUGCCAGGGCGUAGUCAAAGGCUCCUGGUCUUCCUGUCUAUGACUAUUGGAUCAUUCAGCAUUUACUCACAUCAUCAAAUAACGAUGCAAUGCAACAUAUUCGUGAAUACUAAUGCAAUCAACCUAUGGCAUAAACAUGAUGCAUGAGAUAUGCUAAAAGCAGUUUGUGGUUCAAUUAAAAGUUAUAAGUUU
rnacentral:lncRNA from 1 species